GACUGGAAGGAGGGUGGUUCAGCAGCAGUGAAAGCCCAGUGAAUUCCCAGUUGGGAAUGAUUUCCUUAAAAAAACAAAACAAAACAAAAACUUGUGUAGCCUGGAGAGCCCACCGUGAGAACUGCAAAUGCUGGGAACUGCAAAAAGGCAAUUUUUCCUUCUCAUUCUCUAAGGGGAAGAGAAGUGAUGUGAAAAGGGAGUGAGAAUGGAUCACAUGAGAGGAUGUUUGUGAAAACACCCUGUAAGGCAUACAAAAAAGUUAUUAAUAGAGGACAAAGCCUUGCAACAGGAGAACUUUGGAUCUUUGUGAGCUGUUUCCACCUCUGGAGUUUCUUCUCCUCGCCGGGCGGAGUCCCGCUUUCUGCCGCAAGAGGGCGGUAUGGCCACGCUGAGCUGAGUAGGCUGCAUACCCAGUGUGGAGCCCUGCACAGGAUUUGAACUCACUACCUUGAGAUUGAGGCCUGAACCAAGAUCAAGAGUAUGAUGCCUAAUGAACUGAGCCACCCAGGGGCCCCGACUUUUCCAUUAUAGCCAUCCUAAUGGAUAUAAAGUAGUAUCUCACUACGGUUUUGAUUUGCAUUUCCUUGAUAACUAUUGUUAUUGAGCCUCUUUCCAUGUGCAUUUGUAUAUCUUCUCUGGAGAAAUGUCUGUUCAGAUGCUUUGCUCAUUUUUUAAUUGAGUUAUUUGUCUUUUAUUAGUGAGUUAUAAGAAUUCUUUACCUAUUGUAGAUAUGUCUCCUAUCAGAGACAAAAACCGUGAUACACAAUAACAUGAUGAAUCUCAAAUAAUUAUACAAAGUGAAAGAAACCAGACCAAAUAAUCUAAAGAAAUCAGAUCAUGGGUGACCAGAGGGAGAGUUUGGAGGAAGGAGCAGAGAAAGAGGAUUUAUAAAAGGUCACAAGGAAACUGUUGGUGAUGAUGUUUAUUUUCAUUAUCUUGACUAUGGCAGUGUUUUCACAGGUGUAUGCAUAUGUCAAAAAUUGUCAAAUUAUACACUUUAAACAUGUGUAAUUUAUUGUUUGUCAAUCAUACCGCAAUGAAGCUAUUUCAAAAUUAUCCAAAGAACUUUACAAUAGUCUGCUGUUUCACCUUUGUCAUGUCAGUAUUUUUUCACCUGAAAGCUCCCUCUCAAUUGUACUCCCUAAAAUUUAUUUUAAUCUUCUAUAUUCACCAACGUUCUCCAAUUUCUCCCAUACCACAUUGCUCUCUUCCAGGAUAUGUCCCAUUUCCCACCACAUUCAUUGGUGUGCCUCUCCCUAAGGCUGCCCAGGUCCCAGGAUGAUGGAUGCUUAAGACCCUUGCAGAGCUUAGCCCAAUGUCUUGACUCUGGUUUAGUAUGGUGAUCAGAAGCACAACUUUGAGGCAAUAAGCAAGUUCAUUUACUUUUAUAUGCUUUAUUUUCCUCAUAUAUAAAAUGGGCAUAAAGGUACAGCAUAAAGAAUAUAGUCAAUAAAAUUGUAAUAGUGUAAUAGUGACAGAUGGUAGCUAAGUUUGUGGUGAGCCUAGCAUAAUGUAUAAACUUGUCAAACCAGGAUGUUGUACACCUUAAACUAAUGUAACAUUGUGCAUCAACUAUACUCAAAAAAAUUUAACCAACAAAAUGGGCAUAAAUAUAGCGCUUACCUCAUAGGGUUGGAGCGAUGAUGAAAUGAGUUAAUACAUAUAUAAGAUGUUUGGAUCAGUUCCUGGCAUGUAGUAAGCCUAGACAGGUGUUUGCACUUAUUUAUAUUUGGGACAAGGGUGGAGAUUUGCCAAAAAAAUUGGGUGGGCAGUUGUUUCUGGGGGAAGUUUUGGGCUGUUUGGGAAAUAGCUUCAUCGUGGUUUCUUCUUUGUGGGAAAAUCUGUUGCUGCUGGCCCUUUCUUUGUUAAAAAUUCGGAUUGAUCUUCCUUUGUCAUGUAUUUCCCUCUGUGACAUAUCUAGACAUUCAGGAUAUGGUGAACCUGUUACUAAGGGGAGAUACUGCAGGGGCAAGAUAUUGCACUGAGCCUUGAACAUGGGUUAUGUGAACCUGGGGAAAGUUAUAUCGAAUGCUCCAAAAGCUAGUAUUUUGUUUGGUCAGUUAUUUGUCAACUCACUCCUUCCUGAUUCAUCAGUGCUGUGAUAACAAGGUAGAAUAGAGAAACAGUUCUCUUCACCAGAACAGACUUAUUCUGUGGAUCCAGCAGUGUACCCUGAGCCCAGCACACCUCUCUGUAGGAUAAUAGAAGGAUGAAGGACCCCUGCUUCCUUUUUGCUUAUUGACCCAGCCUUAUGAGAAUUCCCCUUAUCAAAAAAAAAAUUUUUUUUAAAGAAUUCCCCUUAUCUAAUAAAGCCUAAUCCUUAACUAACAUAUGUGGAGUGGCAUAUUAGAUUGCAUCUUAAAUCCUGGGACAUAAUAGGAGGUGACCCAGAAAUGCCCACUUGGCAUAACAGAAACACAGUGAGAGUCAUACAGUCUAUCCUUUUGGUUCAGUUUCUGUUUAUUGUUGGCCUGGGAAUUAGGAUGAUUCUUGGGGCAGAGAAGUUCUGACAGGAUAAUUAGAAGUUGACUGUAUAAACAUCUCCAUAAAUUAAACCAAAGAAGUGUUUUUAGCACGAGCUAAAUCUAGACACUAAUUGCUUCCUUUGAUCAAAUCAAAAGGCCUUCUUUCAGUUUUUUAAAAAUUUCUAAAUUAGGGGAUCCCUGGGUGGCUCAGCAGUUUGGCGCCUGCCUUUGGCCCAGGGCAUGAUCCUGGAGUCCCAGGAUCGAAUCCCACA